rnacentral:rRNA from 1 species
AGUGAACGCUGGCGGCGUGCUUAACACAUGCAAGUCGAACGAGAACGGAAUAUAGCUUGCUAUAUUUGUCAGCUAAGUGGCGCACGGGUGAGUAAUGUAUAGAUAACCUGCCCUUAAGAAAGGAAUAACAGUUGGAAACGACUGCUAAUGCCCUAUAUUCCUUUAAUACAUAAGUAUGCAAGGGAAACGCGUUAGGUGCUGAAGGAUGGGUCGGAAUGGUAUCAGCUUGUUGGUGAGGUAAUGGCUCACCAAGGCUAUGACGCCUAACUGGUUUGAAAGGAUGAUGCGUCACACUGGAAAUGAGACACGGUCCAGACUCCUACGGGAGGCAGCAGUGGGGAAUAUUGCACGAUGGACGAAAGUCUGAUGCAGCAACGCCGCGUGGAGGAUGACACAUUUCGGUGCGUAAACUCCUUUUAUAUAGGAAGAUAAUGACGGUACUAUAUGAAUAAGCACCGGCUAACUCCGUGCCAGCAGCCGCAGUAA